AAUUAAUCAACUAAGAUUUCAAGUCCAAUAAGACCUGAUGAAAUGUGAUGGCAGCUCCAAGGAAGUGCUUAGUCAUAAAGAGAGCACUUUCAAAGUACAGAGAAAAGCCUUUCCUGAGGAAACUUGCUGCAUUUUUAGGCAGACAAGAUUUACACAUACGAAGCAGCUAGAUAACAAUUGAAGGAGAGAGAAAAGAGAAAUUGACUCUAUUAAGAAUAUUAGAAUAUCGUGUAGAGGCUCUGUCAGAAGAUAAAACAGCAUAAAUUUGAAGGGUGGUUGAAAUUUUACUUAUGGCAAAUGCUUCUGACUUGCUUAGAGCAUCAAAUUCAGUAAGAAUUGUUGUUUAUAUCUUGAGAUCAAAAGAGUAGUGAUUGAUGACCACAAAGUACAUCCUGGUGGGCUAGGAGAAUUUUAUUUAUUUGACAGAAUUUGAAACAUCAAAAAGGAUCCAUCUUAGGAAGGUGGUGUUAUUUAAAAAGCAUGAAAUUUCAGCUAAUGGUUCCAUAUUGAAUGUACCCUUACAUUUGAUGAAUUGGAACUUGAAUAAGAAACAAGGACAAAAACGAUUUUUGGAACCAGAGCUAUGAGAUGGUAUGAAGGGAAAUAAUACAAAGACAAUGCUUUAUUUCUGAGUUAGAAAGAGAAGGAUAAAAAGCUAUGAGGAAGUCUCCUCAGAGAAGUGAUUAGAGAAGAAAAGGCAAGCAAACAGUAUUUUGAGUAAGACAAAUUUUAGAAGUGGGUGAUGAACAUUUUCAAGUAGAGUACAGAUAUUUUGGAGCAUUAUAUUUGAGAAAAGACCCAGAAAAGCACGUGAUGAGGUGUACUGAGAAGGUUACAUCAGAGCAGCAGGGGACCCAGAGUGCAGCAGGCAAGGUGGAGAGGAGUGCAGUGAUGGUCAGAAAUUUAGAUGUGACUAGGAAAAAAAAUUAUUGCGGUAUCUGAAGGAGAGGCAAAGAGUAGAAGUAUUUUGCUGUUGUUUGUUUUCUGAGAAAGAUUCAAUCAUUAUGAAAUUUAAGCAUGAGGGAGGAAACUAAUAAUCAUGUUGCUCUUCCUUAGUAUGUCUCCAGGCUCAAUAUUUAUUGAGUGGAUAAUUGAGAAACAGCUGGAAAGACAAUAAUUAUGGAAACAAGAAUAUAUGGGGAAGACAGGGUGAAUACAAGUGAAGCAGCUAGAUAAUUAUUCAGACAUAAAUGAUGAAGAUAUUCUUCUGUAAUUCAUGGAAACUUUAAAAAGUGUACAAAUCAUAUCAUUUCUAUAUAUUAGGAUGAGAUUGUAGAAUUUUGCAUGAUUAUCACUUUGUUAUUAAAGGUGAAUUUGUAGAAUUUUGAUUAUCA
rnacentral:lncRNA from 1 species